UAGCUGGGCUUGGGGCGGGGCCGAGACGGAGCGAGGGGUCCAGGGUGUGGGAAACGGGGAGGGGUUUGAGGAGGGGAUCGGAAUGUGGCUCAAGUUCGGGAGGCGUUACCUGCGGAGGGUUUGAGGCAGGCCCAGGAGCGAGCCCAUGGUCUUCCGACGCGGGGCCAGGGGCGGGGCCCAGGAUCCGGAGCUUCGUGCGGGGCCGAGUCCAGGUUUGGGGCCCGGGAGGCGGGGCCAGUUAGGGCGAGGGUCCCUGGGAUCGUCGGGUCAGGCCUUGGGCUAACGUAGGCACUCUCGCAGUUCCUCCGCCUUCAGGAAGGUCUUUUCAGCAGGGGCCUUACGGGUGCAUGCUUCGGUCCUGGAGGCCUUAUCCUAGCCUCCUCUCCAUCAGCGCCACCCGUCUGGGGCCCGAAAGGAGGGAGCUUUCCCUCUGUCCCCCAGCCUUUGGACUGUCACUAAACAAGCCAUUCGUUCAUCAAAUACUUUUUAAGCGCCUACCAUGUGCCUGACAAGGGAGAUGUAACGGUGAGAAAAACUAGGUGUGGUCCAGGCCCUUCAGGGGCUCAGGUGCUCGUGGAAGAAGUGGACAUUGAAGUACUUAUCACACAAAUGAGGAUAAAAGUACGAUAACGAUAUCUACCACGAAGCUGUUGUUCCCCACCAGAACCAAAUGAGCGCAAGAUCUGACAAAGAAAAAAAAAGUCCCUGUAUCCUGAGAUGGAGUCACCUGAGAAUCCACAGCAAGUCCUAACCAGGGAUGGGUCUGGGUGAUUAAGGAAGGUUGGCUUCAGAACUGGGCCAGGGGCACUGCUUUGCUUUUGCUGUUUUGAUCAGCUCUCUGCCUGAAGGAGACAAGAAAAACCAACGGGAACAGCCCAGUAAAGGCGCCAUUCCCCAUUUUACAGCUGGGGAAACUGAGUUACAGAGCUUGUCUGCACUGAGUCAUCAGGAGCAAAUGCUAGAUCAGAUAGGGUCUCUCUCUCUGCCACCCAGGCCAGAGUGCAGUUGACGCAGGGCAGGGGAGCCCCGAAGUGGAGCAUAGUGUGUCCGGAACUGGUGGGUUCUUGGUCUCACUGACUUCAAGAAAGAAGCCGCGGACCCUCGCGAGACGGGGUCUUGCUCUGUUGCUCAAGCUGGA
rnacentral:lncRNA from 1 species